rnacentral:rRNA from 1 species
CCUACGGGAGGCAGCAGUGGGGAAUUUUGGAUCAAUGGGGGAAACCCUGAUCCAGCCAUCCCGCGUGUGCGAUGAAGGCCUUCGGGUUGUAAAGCACUUUUGGCAGGAAAGAAACGUUCCGGGUUAAUACCUCGGGAAACUGACGGUACCUGCAGAAUAAGCACCGGCUAACUACGUGCCAGCAGCCGCGGUAAUACGUAGGGUGCAAGCGUUAAUCGGAAUUACUGGGCGUAAAGCGUGCGCAGGCGGUUCGGAAAGAAAGAUGUGAAAUCCCAGAGCUUAACUUUGGAACUGCAUUUUUAACUACCGAGCUAGAGUGUGUCAGAGGGAGGUGGAAUUCCGCGUGUAGCAGUGAAAUGCGUAGAUAUGCGGAGGAACACCGAUGGCGAAGGCAGCCUCCUGGGAUAACACUGACGCUCAUGCACGAAAGCGUGGGGAGCAAACAGGAUUAGAUACCCUGGUAGUCCACGCCCUAAACGAUGUCAACUAGCUGUUGGGGCCUUCGGGCCUUGGUAGCGCAGCUAACGCGUGAAGUUGACCGCCUGGGGAGUACGG